AUCGUCAGAUAAAAUGUUUGACAAGUGUCUCUCCAGCAGAAUUUAAAAAUGGAAAAACACAAAAAUGUGUUCAAAAUGUCAACAUUUACACAAAAAGUGUUGCAGGCCGUUCACAUGCGGCGCAAAAAGGCAACAAAUAUAUGGGGCCGUGUUUUUUGGCAAAACCUGUCCACAACCACCGCAGAAAUUAUCCCAAUUCUGUUGGUAGUGCAUCCCAUAAUUGGUCCUCAAAUGGAUUUGCUCAGUUUUCCUGGGUUUUUAGUGAGGAUGGUGAGGAUGCUUCGAGAUUUCAAUUUGCUUGUAAUUUCUGCGGGGUGUGUAGUCCGGGUGGCGAUGGGAUCAAAAUGCCGGAAAUGGUUUGUUAGGGUUCGCUACGUACGAAAUUAGGCUCGAACAGGGUUGAGUAAAAGAGUAUUAUAAAGGUAGUAAAUGACAGGGUGACUCAGGCUAAGAAGUGACUAGGCAGCCCUAUGAUUGCUGAGUAGGUGGGAACCUACUAUAAAUAUGAUAAAAAUUUUGUUUAGACACAAUUUGAAUGAAUGAUUAUGAAAAAAAAAAGCGGCACGUUGAAAUAAAAAUUUAAGAAAUAUCAGAAGAAUAGAAAAACAAAAGAUUUCGAGAGAAAUAAUUAAAAUGUUUUUGCUGAUGUCUCGCUGCCGUAUAAGGUUAAAGGAAAUUGGCGUUGUUUGGGGUAAUUGGCGAGUUGGUAACGUAAGUGAAAAGGGUUGGGCGAAUAGUUAGACAGCCGUUGAUUUUUAAAUGAGAGACUCAGGGGUGAGGUGAAAUGAGAAUUCACAAUAAAAAAAAAAAUGGCUAUUGACAGUUGAAAAGAAAAAGGAAUGAAAAUUGAAAAUGGUUCAGGAAAAUGGUGUUUCGUGGAAAAUGAGCGUCUGGCGGGAUUCACUGAGAAGAGGGGUAUAAAAGGCUGCGAGCAUAAGAAAAGCCAAAGUUGAGAAUAAGACGUUACCGGUGAAACUUAGCUAGAGAGCAGUGAAGAAGUGGAAAAAUUUAAUUUGUGUGUUGCGAUUUUUUUUUAUUGUGAAUAUUCCGGUGGUGUAUCAAGCCUUUUUUGGAAGCACCGAAAAUUGUCCGGUUUUGGUCAGCACAACGGCGGGAAAUUGCCUUUUCUUUUUGGUAACGCAAGGUAGUGGCAAGUUGUCCACAGGAAAAAAAAGCCAAAAAAGUUACAUUGAGGGUGUGGAGAUUUGAAUUGUAAACUGGC